ensembl:lncRNA
GUAAGUUCUGAUUGAGAAAAGCAAAAGAGAAAGAGUAAAUCUGCACAGUGGGGUGCUGACAUCCACCUGAGCCUGCUGAGGGCUGCACUAAGAUUUCGGGGCUGGGGGUACUGUCUGUGCCAGCCUGCACCCACAGCCCUCCCUUUCACUCACAGCUCCAAACAAACCCAGGGAGCACACGUGACCUUCAGCGCAGUGUGUCUAAGAAGCCCCUUCCCCAUCCAUCUCGGUGUUCCCACUGCACAACACGGAGCACACCCACUGAUGAAGGCACACAGCAUCCUCAUCUGGCCGGGCUGCCUCAGCCACGUCGGUACUCAGAGCUACAGAUACAGAGGUAAGGCUGCAUUUUUGGUGAUCCUUUGUCCCCUGUUUUGCAGGAGCCAGCUGGGUCUCCCACCACAGACAGGGAAUUGCUGUGGGCUCCCUGUGCCCCAGAGCAGCAUUGAGGCAUUGAGCCAUUGCCCCUCCUGACCCCAGACCCUGCACACAGCAGGGCCUGAAAUGGCCCUUUCCCAGACAUCUCCGUAAGCAAUGCCUUCAGUCUCUGCUUAAUGACUCCCAGCCAUCCUUCCUCCUUGCAGAAGCCAGCAGCACAGCAGGCAGGGCAGAUCCCCAGCUCCUGCUCCCCCCAUUCCAAACAGCAACUUUGGGGUCUCAUAGCAAACCCCAUCCCACCAGCAGCAAACCCCCUAUUUCCAGGCCUGGCCCUGGUUUGUUCUCAUUUCCUUUCCUUACUGAGCCUCCCCCCAGGAAUGGGACGAUGUCUUUUACAGCUCUCCCUGCUUCCAGUGUAUCAGAAGCAUGCCAAGACAUUGCCCUCUCCCAGGGGUGAGGAGCAAAGUGCCCAAUGUGGAGACGAGAACUGAUCUGGUGCUGCUGCAGCUGAGGGGCACAGUGCAGGGCCACAGCCACGUGGGGACUGGGAUUGAACCCGGUGCAAGAAGCCCAGGAGGAAAUCCCAUCCCAAUGCUAUGGGGCAGAAACCCAAUGCUGCCCCCAAAAUCUUUCCCCACAGCCUCCAUCCUGCUGCCUUCCCCCCCAGUCCUCCUUCUCUCACCUUGCCUUCCUCCAUUGCAUCCAUCCUCCUCUCUGGUGCCUCUUGCUCCAUCUCUGGGCACUGCUUUCCCCUCCCCUCCUCCCUUCCCAACCCCUGAGCUCCAGCUAGUUUAGAUCUGCCCUGGGGUGAUGUAGGGGGGAACAGGGGCAGCACUGACCCCUCUCCAUACUCCCAGUUUGGCUCAGUCUGAGCCCUAUGGUUGGGAUGUCCCUCCCACACCCAGGGCUGCUGGCAGCAUCUGGCCCCACUCCAGAGAGGAGGAGGAGGUGGAAGAGGAGAUUCCCCCAUGGGCAGCACUGUGGUGCAAAAGGCUGAAAGGAGCUCUGGCCAGGAGCAGGGCCUUGUGUGGAGGUGGUGGGUGUGAGGAUGGCUGAGGAUGCUUUUGCCUAAAGAGCAGUGGGAUGUGAAGGCAAACAGUGGGAACAUUGCUCCUGGAGCGUGGUGGUGCUGCCCAGGGACUGCCCUGCUCUGCCUGUGAGCGUUGGGACCCGGCCCAUGCUGUGGUGAGCACAGCAUUUGAAUGCAGCCAACUGACCCCCAGGGCCUCAGGCAGUGCUGCAGAGCAGUGCUGGGGCUCACCAUGCAUCCUUGCUCAGUGCCAGGGUGUGCACAGUGCUGGGCAUGGCUCACACUGUCCGUUCUCUGCUCACCCUGCAGGACAGAUAUUGCCUAUAGCAAAAAAUUACCCUCCAUAGCAAAAAUACAACAAUCUCUACGGGCAGGACUCGUUCUGUGCCCUCCAUCCCAGCAUGACGAUGCCCACAGUGCUCCUACAGCACCACAGGGCAGUUCCCUGCUCUGGUGCAGGGCUUUGGGAUGAGGGUCCCCUCUCCUCCUCCUGCUCAGUGAGCGAUGCCUUCACAUGGCUGUCCCAAAGCUCCAGGCCCACUCAGCCCCGUGCUGCAACGCACAGAGCCGGAACAAAGCCGUGCUGCCUCAAAUUCCUCCAGUGCCGGGCUCGGGGCUCUGUGCUGCUUUCAGUUCCUAAAGCCAGCUUCGCGCUGUGCCCUGUCGGCCCACUCCCACGCUCCAGCACGGGGUAUCUUGACAGAUUGUUUGGUGGUUUGUUUGUUUGUUUUCUAUUUUAUAAUAAAAGGAAAAAAGCGAUUGCAAAGCAGAAAGGACCGUUUUGGGGGUACAUUUGGCAGUGAAAUCAGAGCUCGGGCUGGGAACCAGCAGGACAGCCUCCCUGCAGCCUCCCUGCGAUGCUCUCCAUGCACCGAACCCCGCACCACUCCUUCCUACACCAUCCCCCCGCUCACACCAAUGACUUUUAUUUUCGUACACGAAAAAGAAAACGCACAACGGAUUGGGAGCGUUAUUUUUCUGAACGCCACUUCGAAGAGUAAAAAUCUGAAAGCGUAAAUCCGGAGCAUCGUGGCAAAAUCCGGGCUCGGUUUAAAAACUAAAAGGGUUCUGCGAUUGUUUCUUUUCGUUUGUGAAAUAAUUCAACCCUCACCAAUAUUCCGGGCAGACGAG